AGAGAGAGACAUGCGCGCAUAUCAAUAAGCGGAGGAAAAGAAACUAACAAGGAUUCCCCUAGUAACGGCGAGUGAAGCGGGAAGAGCUCAAAUUUGAAAUCUUAAAGGGUUUCCCUUUACGAAUUGUAGUUUAAAGAAGUGUUUUCUGUUGAGGUUUUGGUAAAAGUUCUUUGGAAUAGGACAUCAUAGAGGGUGAGAAUCCCGUAUUUGACCUUUACUUUCAACUUUGUGAUACACUUUCAAAGAGUCAGGAUUGUUUGGGAAUGCAGUCCAAAAUGGGUGGUAAAUUUCAUCUAAAGCUAAAUAUUGGCGAGAGACCGAUAGCGAACAAGUACCGUGAGGGAAAGAUGAAAAGAACUUUGAAAAGAGAGUUAAGCAGUACGUGAAAUUGUCAAAAGGGAAGCGUUUGACACCAGUGUUGUUUUUCUGAAAAUCAAUUAAAGAACUGUUUAUGCUAAGUUGUUUAGACUUUAUCAGCUAACUGUUUAGUUUUGAGCUUUUCUUUAAUGCACUUUUCAGUUAACAAGUCAACAUCAAUUUCUUUUGCUGUAAAAAAGCUUGAGGAAGGUGGCUUGAGAUUCGUCUUAAGUGUUUAUAGCCUCUUGCCUAUGCAGUCGGAGAGAUUGAGGUCUGCAGCGUAGAUCCUUCGGGGCUAAAUGCAUUUGUGCUAAGUUAUAGCAUUUUAUAGACAACUUGUUGACUAUGAUUUGUCUUGUAGCUUACUCGCUUAUGUUAUUUUACCUACGCUUAGGAUGUUGACGCAUGAGAUAUACGC
rnacentral:rRNA from 1 species